AAAAAAAUCAAAACCCUAAUGCCAUUUGAUUUCUUUUCAGCCGACACACACACUUUACCUUUCUCUCCCAAAUAAUUUUCCUUUCAUCUUCAUCAUAUCCUCUCUAACACAAAACCCUAGCUCCCAUCAAGUUGUUCUCAUAAUUUGCAAACCAUCUGCACUUGUGAAGAGAGAGGAGGGCGUAGAGAGAGAUCCGAGAUGGAGUGCCACAUGGUCGACCAUCACAACCGACAUCUCCACAACGACAGCAGCCGGUGGUGGUGACGCGGCUACGCCGCUACUCACGGUGGAGGUGGCGAUGGAUUUUUGACAGCAGUUUAGCGGAUGACACCCCCCCUCGACCUGCUACCACCUCUACUCCCCUGCUACACCGUCAGGUGACGGAAAUGGCAGCGCCGCCUCGGGUGGUGCCGGCUGAAGGUUCGAGCAGAGAGAGAGAGAGACAGGAGGAGAGAGAGAGUGUGAGAGAGAUGAGGUGGAGCGGCGCCGCCGCUGAUGGUGGCGACAGAGGAGGAGAACGGCGGUUCGGUUGUGGCUUCGGGUGGUUGGAGACGGCGACACCUCAGCUCCGACAGCCGUGACUCCGGGGUAAGAACAUCUGUUUUUUUUUUCUCUUUGGUUUCUGAACAGUAAACUAGUUCCGCUCCUAAUUCUCUUUAUUUUCCGAUGAAUAACGAUGAUUAUGGUGGCUGAUGGUGGCCGCGAGCGGCGCGGGUGACACCGGCGGCGGUAGAAGAGGUGGUUAUGUGCUAUCAGUUUUAAGUUUGGUAGUUUGGUGUGAGUUAGUUCAUCUUGACUCUCAAUUCGAGCUUCGGGUCGGUGUGUGCGAGAUCUGGUUCAACCCGGUUCAGAUCCGGGUCAACAGUGGACAAGAAUGGUCAACGGCAGUGCGGUUUUGGGUCUCGGUUCAGAAUGGGUGUUAGAAGCAACUGGCCAGUCACAGGUUCGAGUUUGGGUUCGGGUCAAACGUGGUCAACUACGGUCAAAGUCAGUCAACGUUGGUCAACAGGUCAACAGACGGUCAAACUCAGUCGAUGCAAGACCCGGAAUGUCAUAGUUGCACGCUAGCUAAAUACAUGUUCUUGGAACGACACUACGGAAUCACGCUAGGCUAGCAUUGCACAGGAAGGUCAAGGUUGCAUUUUCAAAACUAUGGAACGGUUGGAAUAGGAGAACCCAUGGGAAUUCAAGUA